rnacentral:miRNA from 1 species
CCAAAUUUACACUCUCGGGGCAUA